GCACAAUCCUACUUCCGUUUCCGUCAUCAGAUUAAAAGUGUUAGUUUCCUAAAGUCCUUUUCAUCAAUUUUUAAUACAAUUUAUAAUACAUUGCUCAACCACCACACACACACUUAUAACAACUUUAUCCUUUAUAAAGAAGAUUUCCAAUAUCAGAUGACAUUGGCAUAACAGAAAAUAUACAAAGCAGAUAUAUUACAUUGUGUCUAUAAAUAUGUCAUAGAUUUCUAUGAAAUAUUUGUUCUAAUCUGAUAUUAUUAGCAGCAUUUUUGCACUUCACUGAUUGGAGUGCCAAGAAGAUGAGAUUGUGUACUAAGUAAACUUGGAUACAAGUGUUGCUAGAGAAAGAAACCAGUGGAAGUAUUUGUAAGAUUAAACAAUAAGAAGAAACACAAGAAAAGUAUAUUUACAUUGUGAUUUGACAAAAAUAAUAAUGGAAAAGAAUGAGAAGCUUAAAGAAUUGAUUUCCCAUGAAGAUGUGAUAAAAGGGAGAGGAAAGUUAUCAUAUGAUUGUGAUGUCUGUGGUAAUCCAUUCUCUCAAAAUACUUACUUAGAUGAACACAAACAUAUUCAUACACAAGAAAAACCAUAUCAAUGUGAUAUUUGUGGUAAAUCAUUUGUUGAAUGUCAAAAAUUAACUUUACAUAAACGUAUUCACUCAAAAGAGAAGCAGUAUCAUUGUGAUGUCUGUGGUAAAUCAUUCUUUGAAAAUAGUGCCUUAACGAAACACAGACGUAUUCAUACAGGAGAAAAACGAUAUCAUUGUGAUAUCUGUGGCAAAUCUUUCACUGAAAAUAGCAGCUUAACUACACACAAACGUAUUCAUACAGGAGAGAGACCAUUUCACUGUAAUAUCUGUGGUAAAUCAUUCUCUAACAGUAGUCACUUAAUUGUGCAUAAACGUAUUCAUACAGGCGAGAAGCCAUAUCAUUGUGAUAUUUGUGACAAAUCAUUCACUGUCAGCAGUUCUUUAACUACACACAAACGUCUUCAUUCAGGAGGGAAACCAUAUCAUUGUGAUAUCUGUGACAAAUCAUUCACUUUCAGCAGUUCUUUAACUGAACACAAACGUCUUCAUACAGGAGAGAGACCAUAUCAUUGUGAUGUCUGUGGUAAAUCCUUCAAUAAGAGUGAUACUUUAACUAAACAUAAACGUAUUCACACAGGCGAAAAACCAUUUCACUGUGAAAUCUGUGGCAAAUCAUUCACUGAAAAUUGCAGCUUAACUACACACAAACGUAUUCAUACAGGAGAAAAACCGUAUCAUUGUGAUAUCUGCGGCAAAUCAUUCGCUAUCAGUUGUGCUUUAACUUCACACAAACGUCUUCAUUCAGGAGACAAGCCAUAUCAUUGUGACAUCUGUGACAAAUCAUUCACUCUCCGCAGUUCUUUAACUGAACACAAACGUCUUCAUUCAGGAGAGAGACCGUAUCAUUGUGAUGUCUGUGGUAAAUCCUUCAAUAAGAGUAAUACUUUAACUAAACAUGAACGUAUUCACACAGGCGAAAAGCCAUAUCAUUGUGAUAUCUGUGGUAAAUCAUUCACUGUAAAUAGCAGUUUAAUUACACACAAACGUAUUCAUACAGGAGAGAAGCCAUAUCAUUGUGAUGUUUGUCGUAAAUCAUUCUCUAGCAGUAGUCAUUUAACUGUACAUAAACGUAUUCAUACAGGUGAGAAGCCAUAUCAUUGUGAUAUCUGUGGCAAAUCAUUCUCUGAAAAUGGCAACUUAACUGCACACAAACAUAUUCAUACAGGCAAGAAGCCAUAUCAUUGUGAUGUCUGUGGCAAAUCAUUUAAUGCAAGUGGUAAACUAAUUAUGCACGAACUUAUUCAUGCAGGAGAGAGAGUGUAACAUUGUGCUAUCUGUGGUAAAUCAUUCACAUUGUUCUCUAUAAAUAGUAACUUAACUAGACACAAGUGUAUUCACACCAGAGAGAAACCAUAUCAAAGUGAUGUCUACUAAAUCAUUGUCUGACCAUUAUGCCUUCACUUCAUACAAAUGUGAAGCUAUUUCACUGAUAAAUUAUUCACUGAAAAUAGUAAAUUAACUGCACACAAAUGUAUUCAUACAGGGGAGAAAGGAAAAGGCUACUUUGUAUGGAUUCUUUUGUAAACUUUUUUUAAAAAAUAUUCCUGUGUAUCAUGUAACUGACAUUACGACUCUGAAAAAAUGCUUUUCCAGAAAUUCGAGUUUCUUUUUGUCUUUUUUUGAAAAAUUUCUCCCAGCUUCCUCCUUUACUUCCAUUCCCGUUUCAUUUCCCAUGAUGUAGGGACCUCUAUACUGAAAUUCCUCCUGGCAACCCUACACAUGGCUUUGUUAAGUAUCACUUCCUAAUUUACUGUAUAUUUAUUCAUUAUUAAAUUUUAAAUACUUCACCCCUUAAAUGUGUUAACAGUUAGGUAUGUUAGGGGUUCUUUCAAACACAGAAAUGCAGCAAAAUUGUCAAAUAUAUAAAAAAACAAUGACCUCCAGUACGAAAUCGAAGACACCACAAAAACAUGGGGCAUAUCUAUGGUCUAGGGCCCUACAACAGAUUAUAUUCUCUUAACUUUCUGAAGAAUUGGUUUUUAAAUUAAACUUAGCAGCUUUCAAGGGUCUAGAUUACAAUUAUCUUAACAUAACUGAUGAAAAAAAGUUUUCCAAGUAGAUUGUGAUCCUUCUCAACUCCACUCUGCUUUUGUCAGAGUCAUAUCCCAUGAAAUUAGGAAGAGAGUUGGCCUAGAUGUGAUGUACUUUCGUUUUGUGCUAACUUCCUAGUAAGGUAAAAUUUCAACAAAUUUGCUGACCAUUCGCAUUGUUAUAUUCCUCAAAAUAUUCAUCCAAAUUUCACAACUGCGCUAACAAAAUGUUUCUUUUUGGAUGAUCCUCUCAAAUAAGAAGUAAAGUAGAUAUUACAUUUAGAUACUUUCAAAAAUCCAUAGUGAUACCCAUUACCAUUUAACCAGAUGUCAUAAAUACACAGAAAAACGUACAAUCACAAUAGAAUGCUACUUAAAGGGAGAUAACAAGUCUUAUCUGCUAAUAGUAUUACAGAUGAAAAAUGCGCAUGCGCAAUAUACAUACCUUCGUUUCUUGGCAUCAGAUUAGAAAUGUUCGUCGCAUGAAUAUCUCUUCAUCAUCUUUUAAUUCGUUUCUCAACCAACACACACAGUUUAUAGUAACUAUGUCCAUAUCAAGCAUUCACGAUAUCAAAUGACUUUGGCAUCAUAGAAGAUACAUUGUCAAUAUUUAUCAUCUUUUGAAACUGAAAGAAAAUGAUAUACAAAGCAGAUAUAUAACACUUUCUAUAAAUAUGUUGUGGAUUUCUGUGAAAUAUUUCUUCUAAUCUGAUAUGAUUAGCAAAAUUUCUGCACAUCACUGACUGGAGUGCUAAGAAGAUGAGUUUGUGUGCUUGGAUACAUUUACAUAAAUGUUAUUAGAGCAGGGAAACAGUGGACAGAAAUCAGGAGUGAAAGUAUUUGUAAGAUUAAAUAACAAGAAGAAAAACAAGAAAAUUAUAUUUACAUUGUCGAUUGAGAAAAAU